rnacentral:rRNA from 1 species
GACGAACGCUGGCGGCGUGCCUAAUACAUGCCAGUUGAGCGCUGAAGGUUGGUACUUGUACCAACUGGAUGAGCAGCGAACGGGUGAGUAACGCGUGGGGAAUCUGCCUUUGAGCGGGGGACAACAUUUGGAAACGAAUGCUAAUACCGCAUAAAAACUUUAAACACAAGUUUUAAGUUUGAAAGAUGCAAUUGCAUCACUCAAAGAUGAUCCCGCGUUGUAUUAGCUAGUUGGUGAGGUAAAGGCUCACCAAGGCGAUGAUACAUAGCCGACCUGAGAGGGUGAUCGGCCACAUUGGGACUGAGACACGGCCCAAACUCCUACGGGAGGCAGCAGUAGGGAAUCUUCGGCAAUGGACGAAAGGCUGACCGAGCAACGCCGCGGGAGUGAAGAAGGGUUUCGGAUCGUAAAACUCUGUUGGUAGAGAAGAACGUUGGUGAGAGUGGAAAGCUCAUCAAGUGACGGUAACUACCCAGAAAGGGACGGCUAACUACGUG